GACGGAGGGUGCAAGCGUUGUUCGGAAUUACUGGGCGUAAAGCGCGGGCAGGUGGCCUUUUAAGUCCUUUGUGAAAUUCCGGAGCUCAACUCCGGAUGUGCAUAGGAUACUGGAAGGCUAGAGACUGGUAGAGGCGAGCGGAAUUCCUGGUGUAGCGGUGGAAUGCGUAGAUAUCAGGAGGAACACCGGUGGCGAAGGCGCCUAUCUGGCCCGAUACUGACGCUGAGGCGCGAAAGCUAGGGGAGCAAACGGG
rnacentral:rRNA from 1 species